rnacentral:rRNA from 1 species
CCUACGGGUGGCAGCAGUGAGGAAUAUUGGUCAAUGGACGAGAGUCUGAACCAGCCAAGUAGCGUGAAGGAUGACUGCCCUAUGGGUUGUAAACUUCUUUUAUAUGGGAAUAAAAUGUUCCACGUGUGGGAUUUUGUAUGUACCAUAUGAAUAAGGAUCGGCUAACUCCGUGCCAGCAGCCGCGGUAAUACGGAGGAUCCGAGCGUUAUCCGGAUUUAUUGGGUUUAAAGGGAGCGUAGGUGGAUUGUUAAGUCAGUUGUGAAAGUUUGCGGCUCAACCGUAAAAUUGCAGUUGAAACUGGCAGUCUUGAGUACAGUAGAGGUGGGCGGAAUGCGGGGUGUAGCGGUGAAAUGCUUAGAUAUCACGAAGAACUCCGAUUGCGAAGGCAGUUCACUGGACUGCAACUGACACUGAGGCUCGAAAGUGUGGGUAUCAAACAGGAUUAGAUACCCGUGUAGUC